CGUCCCGGUGCUCCGCGACAUCACAGACGUAAAGAACCAGCGAAGCACCGUGCCAAGCCCACCAACCUCCCGUAACCCACGAGAGUGAAGGAAGUGAACUCGGCUCGCUUUCCCGCCCGUUCGCUGGAAUAGGCUCCAGUCGAGCACCCGCUCCAUCCGUACGACGUCGAAACGGCGACCGCACGAGAAUCCGCACGUCAACCGCACGACGACCGCACGACGACCGCACACAUACAACGGCCCCCGGCCGGGACUGCCAUCCCGAUCGAGGGCCUGACCACCGAGGAAGAAGAGCCUUCCCC
rnacentral:ncRNA from 1 species